GCAGGCGCGGGGUGAAUUUCUAUUAAGAUUGGGUCACUGAACGCAAUCUUUUUGCUCUUCAAACGCCAUGAUGUCAUCGAUGAUCAGGCCUAUCUUUCUACACAAUGCGAGAGUGACAGCAUUUGACGUACACCCAUGGCACCCAUGGAUUGCAUGCGCAUUGGAGACUGGAAUAAUAAAAGUGUUCAAUAUCGAGAGUGGCGAGCUGGUGUAUCAAUACUCGACGGUGGAGGAGGUGGGUGAGAAGGAGCCAGUACUCUAUAAAGGAACGAUAGAAGAACAGGAGAAAUCGAGCAGAAAGCCAGAAUUGAAGGUCGCGAAGAAAGCAAUAGGUACGAUCAAGGUAUUGAAGUUCAUCGACAUCAGGGUCAGAAUCGCGAAGUAUCAAGAAGAACUGAGCAUGAAGGAGGAGGGGAUAGAAAAGGUGAUAGAGAAAUGGGAGGAGAUGAAGAGAAUGUACACGGAAGACAAUCCCAAUUUGUUGGUAGCGUGCGGAGAGCACAGGGCUUGCAUUUUUGACUAUACAUCGUACGAGUUUAAGGAGUUAGAGAUGCAGGGCACCAAGGCGACGUGCGCAGAAUUGCUGGCGGUAAAUAAUCAGGUGGCGUUCGGAUUCGCUGAUGGUUCGGUGAUUCUAUGGGAUGUAGUUUCUAAUAGCUAUUCAGAAAGGAUGGCAACGAAAUCGAAGAAGCAGGUCGUAAUCUUGAAAUCAUACAUAUUUUCAGAUAAAACCUACCUGGUCUCCGUGACAGCAGACGGAACAUGGAACAAAUGGGAAAUAGGUAAUCAGAAGGAUGGCAUGGUGUUAUUGGAGACGAAAGUGUGCAAGUACGACAUAUAUGAUGCAUGCCUCGAAUUGACGAAGAAAAACUUGCUCUUGUUGACAAGUCAGGGAAUCAUAAAGCAUAAUUACCAUAUGCUCGAGGACACCGGCACAUUCAUGCCGCCACAUAAAAUGCAGUUGGUCUCCAUAUGUCAUUUGUAUGGGACACACCUAAAUAACACGGUGGCACUGAUUUCGAAAGAAGGACGCCAAAUUUUCUGUUACGAUUUCAGGUCGGCAACCCCGCCGAGGCCAAUUUAUGACAUCAGCAUGUUAUCCAAGGGGAACGAAACAAUAAGGGGCCAUAAGUUCCAAUCGGUGAAAACCUAUUCUUACCAGCCACGGUUGGUGAUAACAUCUUCGCAUAGCCUAAUGGUUGCAGAAUACGAUAGAAAUGUAUUUCCGAACUUUUGCCGCAUCCCAGUGGCCAUUGGCACUUAUCAAGGACCCACACAACUGUAUUAUUGUAAAGACUCGUCGAUCUAUAUGAUUUCACUGAAACAAGAAAAAAACAUCCUGCAAAGAAAAAGAUGCAAUUCACGACCCGUCAAAAUCCCAUUGAAAACACAAGAGUCUCUCUCUAAGAGCAGGAUCGAAGUGUCCGUUAGCCCGACAGGAAGAUAUGCAACCAUCUUUUAUUCCGACCAUAACCAACUAGAAAUCUAUCUGAAAGAAACCUGGUCCCAACUCAGUACCAUGAACGACGUUUUUAGUCCAGUAUGGGCACCAAAUGCUCCUGACCGCCUGGCCUGGCUCCAGAUGUCCAUUCGCCCAGCUCGAGAUGACAAAAAAAGGCGCUUCUUCACUUAUGCUCUGUCUGUCAAGGCAGUUGGGGAACCCUCGCCGGUGUUGCAAAUAGAUCUCUUCGAAUUUCCUGUGCCUCAAAAACCAAUUCUGCACUCGGGAUAUCUUUUAUCACUCCAUUUUAUCGAACCCGACCAAAGACACAGUUGUCCAGAUAGUGAUGCCACCCUCUAUACUUGGACCGGUCAAAAAAUCAAACACCAACUCCCCGCCCCUCUCUCUAUUCACUGGAACGCGUCUUCACAGUACAUGCUCGUCUGCUACCAAAAAUUCGCCUGCCUGUUCUCCACAAACCCAAAAAUGCACAUCGUCGAAAUCAUCUAUGAUCAAAUCAUCAGCUGUCUUUGGUACUUCGAUAUGCUCUUUUACCUCACCAACCGCCAAUUGAAAUGCCUAUUUGCUCACCCCUCCAACGACAUCAUCAUACCCAUGCCCUAUCUCGACUCCUUAUCUUCUCACCCUCUGUCCAACCUACCCUCAUAUACUCCUUACAGUUCUAUCGCCGGCAUAUGCUGUGGACACAUACUCCUCUUCGACUUCAAUAUGAGACUCUUUCAGCUACCCCUCAACAGCAUGCUCUUCCAGUUCUGCUCUCGUGUCGAUCUGAAACGCCCAAACCUUGCUCUCCCCAUAUCCAACCUCCUCCCUCCAAAUUUUCGCCCAUUCAUGGCCUCCUUCCUCGUCUCUCGCGGCUAUGCUCACCUCCUGCAAGAAUUCCGCAUUCCCCCUGAAAUCUCUGUCAGAGCGUGCCUCAAAUACAGACAACUCUCUCACGCUUCCCAACUCAUACACGAUAUAACGUGCUCCUUCCUAGACUCUAACAGCACGCUCGACUGCUCCAAAAUCAUAGCCCUCGGCAGACUUGCCAUACACCUAGCCCUCAUCACCAAAAACAAAUACGCUCUAGAAUUCCUCCUCUCAUCACUCUCAAAACUUUCCCCUGAUCUGUACUCUCAUCUCGCUCUAUUCCUCUAUGCGAACCACGACUACCCUGGACUCUCCUUGCUCCACCAAAAACUGCUCUCCUCUCCCUGCAAAGCCAUAUCCUCCCAAGCAAAAUGCACCGCCGCCUACAUCUCCAAUUUCACCCUCAUUUCCCAUUUGAAACUCACCAGAUCCUACCCCGAAUUCUUUCUCCUCACCCUCUCGGACAAAAAAUCGUUCCUAUCUCUCUGGAAUACGUCCAAUGCGUCCGUCACGCAACACUUACAACCCCCUGCGCCCAACGUUCAAAUAACACCCAACAAAGACACACAGCAAAACGAAUACUCCUCUCACUCCAUAUAAGGCAUUCUUCACACCCACAACGUGUAAAACGGGGAAAUCACUAUAAAAAACUCUCCGAAUCGGACUUUUUUUUCCUGUCUUGACGGGCCAUCAAGUCAAACGCGCGCCAAUCCACAUGCUCGCCGGUAAGAACGGAUCUGACAAAAAAGCGUGUUUUUAAAAUUUUUUGCAACCGUGCGCUUGUUUUCUUUUUUGCGUAUUAAAUGUCAGACAGAACCACGGACCAGCAUGUCUGAUCUACUUGAUACCGCCACGAAAACCAACUCUAAGACGGUCGAUGAGCCCUUCGACCUCAUUAGACUCUCCUUAGAUCAGCGCGUCUACGUGAAGCUUCGAGGCGACCGAGAACUAAGGGGAAAGUUAUACGCGUAUGACCAGCACCUGAACAUGGUUCUGGAAGACGUAGAGGAAACAUACACCAGGGUCGAAAUAAACGAAGAAACCAAAAAAGAGAUCAUCAACCCCAUCAAGAGGAAAAUAGGCGUUUUGUUCGUGCGCGGAGACGGCGUUAUCCUAGUGGCCCCGCCCGUCUGCAUCUAGCCACGCUGCGUGGAGUUGCUCGAGAGCUGCGCCUGACACUAAAUAA